CUACGGGAGGCUCCAGUAGGGAAUCUUCGGCAAUGGACGGAAGUCUGACCGAGCAACGCCGCGUGAGUGAAGAAGGUUUUCGGAUCGUAAAGCUCUGUUGUAAGAGAAGAACGAGUGUGAGAGUGGAAAGUUCACACUGUGACGGUAUCUUACCAGAAAGGGACGGCUAACUACGUGCCAGCAGCCGCGGUAAUACGUAGGUCCCGAGCGUUGUCCGGAUUUAUUGGGCGUAAAGCGAGCGCAGGCGGUUAGAUAAGUCUGAAGUUAAAGGCUGUUGCUUAACCAUAGUACGCUUUGGAAACUGUUUAACGUGAGUGCAGAAGGGGAGAGUGGAAUUCCAUGUGUAGCGGUGAAAUGCGUAGAUAUAUGGAGGAACACCGGUGGCGAAAGCGGCUCUCUGGUCUGUAACUGACGCUGAGGCUCGAAAGCGUGGGGAGCAAACAGGAUUAGAUACCCGUGUAGUC
rnacentral:rRNA from 1 species